UACGUAGGGUGCGAGCGUUAAUCGGAAUUACUGGGCGUAAAGCGUGCGCAGGCGGCUUUGCAAGACAGAUGUGAAAUCCCCGGGCUCAACCUGGGAACUGCAUUUGUGACUGCAAGGCUAGAGUACGGCAGAGGGGGAUGGAAUUCCGCGUGUAGCAGUGAAAUGCGUAGAUAUGCGGAGGAACACCAAUGGCGAAGGCAAUCCCCUGGGCCUGUACUGACGCUCAUGCACGAAAGCGUGGGGCGCAAACAGG
rnacentral:rRNA from 1 species